rnacentral:rRNA from 1 species
UACGUAGGGGGCUAGCGUUGCUCGGAAUGACUGGGCGUAAAGGGCGCGUAGGCGGAUGGCACAGUCAGAUGUGAAAUUCCCGGGCUUAACCUGGGGGCUGCAUUUGAUACGUGUUGUCUUGAGUUCGGAAGAGGGUCGUGGAAUUCCCAGUGUAGAGGUGAAAUUCGUAGAUAUUGGGAAGAACACCGGUGGCGAAGGCGGCGACCUGGUCCGACACUGACGCUGAGGCGCGAAAGCGUGGGGAGCAAACAGG